rnacentral:rRNA from 1 species
UACAGAGGGUGCGAGCGUUGUCCGGAAUCACUGGGCGUAAAGGGCGCGUAGGCGGUUCCCUAAGUGUGUGGUGAAAGCUCGGGGCUCAACCCCGAGUCGGCCGUGCAAACUGGGGGACUCGAGCAUGUCAGAGGCAGGCGGAAUUCCGGGUGUAGCGGUGGAAUGCGUAGAGAUCCGGAAGAACACCAGUGGCGAAGGCGGCCCGCUGGGCAGUGGCUGACGCUGAGGCGGCGACAGCGUGGGGAGCAAAC